GGCACACUGCUGUGGAUAUAAAAAAUUAUGAUAAAUAAUUUCUGCUUCUUAAGAAAUGUAUGAUAUUGUACGAAGUAUAAGGCAUAUUCACAUGAAAUAUAAUUUAUGCAAAACAGUGAAAUAGCCAGGCAGAGUUACAACAUAAGAUAGAUCUUUCUGACCUAUGAAAGCAAAAUAAAUUUGUUCACUGUAAGUAUAAGAUGAGCUGGCCCUUGAAGGAUACGUAACAAUUGAAUAUGAUAAGGAAAGGGUGGUUUUGACAAAGGCAAAGGAUCAAGAAAACAUUGUGGGGCCAGGCGCGGUGGCUUACACUUGUAAUCCCAGCAUUUUGGGAGGCCAAGGCAGGUGGAUUACGAAAACAUUGUGCAUGUUUAGAAUUGAUGAGUAGAUGUAUUUCCCAGGAUAUCUGAGUAGGUGGGAUAGAGCUGGAAAAAUAGGGUUGGGUUUAGUUGUGGAGAAUAUUAAACGAUGCCAGAUUGAGAAGUAUGGAUCUGAAACAUUGUUUUAAUAUUCUCAUGUGUUUCCUUGGUUAGCACAUCUUCAAAUCCAAACAGAAACAAGAUGUGGAGGAGUUGAAAGUGGAUGAACUUGUUUACCUGAAAACAGCAGUUGUUCAUCAUAUGCCUCUUACCUGAAGAGAGAUUUUACAAAACUCUUACCAUUGGAAUUGCACAGCCACAGAACACGAACUGCCUGAGACAAGUCAGCCUCCACACCAAGCUCUGCCAGUAUGACUCAAUACCAUUCUCAAGAUACCAAGGCAGAGGAAUUUAAUCUCUGUAUCCUUGGUCUCUAACCUUCCAGAAGAGAAUCUCCUUCAGCUUGUCAACAUCUUCAUCUCCUUUAGCAUGUCAACAUCUUCAACAUCUCAGGUCAAAAGAGAUGAUAUGUUUUCAGUCAUCUAGCUGUAAUAGCUCACUGUGUUAGAGCUUUUUUUUUUGAAGGUUCGUCAGCAUGUAAGGCCCAAUUAUGUUACUGAAACGCUUUGCAAACUAUUACUUUCAAUGUUCUCCUCUACCAAAGUUGUAAUAAGAUUAGAAGAUUUAAAGAAGAAACUGUUAACUGACUGUGAUAAAAAACAAUGCAUUUUUCAGGACCACCAAAAUGUUAUAGACCCUUAUGUCCUGAAUUCCAAGUAGAUUACAUUUUAAGUUUUUGCUGGGCAGACAAAAUAAAAAAGAGAGAGAGAUUAUUUCGUGCAAAUGAGUCUCUGGAGUAACCAAAUUCUUAUAUAUUGCUAGUUGGGAUGUAGACCAUGAUCGUUACCAUAGAAAAUAAUCUAGUAUUAUUAAUAUUUAGUAAAGUUGAGAAUGCCCAACUAUCCAACAAUUCAUUCUUAGGAUUGUAUCCCAAGGGAAAUCUCAAACAUGUGAACCAACAAAUAGAUAUAAGAAUGUUCACAGAAAUACUGUUGAUGACAGCAUAGAAUUAGGGGCUACAAAAAGACCUAUCAGCAAUAAAAUUAAUAAAAAGAACUGUGGUGAAUUUGUACAUUGAAAUGCUAGAAAGCAAUAAAAAUGAAUGAUAUACAGUUAAUAUUGGCAUAUUGAAAUCACAAGAUAGAGGUGAAAACAAGACAUGAAAGAUUAUAAACAAUGAAAUUUUACUUACACAAAGCUUUAAAACAUGCAACAUGAAACAGUGUGCAUCGAUUAGAAAUAUAGCCAAAGGGGAUAAAAAUGUUUGUGUAUUUUAAAAAUAGUGAUCAUGAAAACUUCAAGAUAUUAGUGAAUUUAUGGGAAAUGAAGGGAGAUGAUGAUGGAACCAGGACAAGGCAAGCCAGGGCUUCCCAGGUGUGCUGGUAAUGCUCUAUUUUCUAAACUGUGUGGUAGAUAUAGAAGUGCCUGAUUUAUGACUACUUAUUAUACCUUAUAAUCUGUUAUAAGUAUUAUUUUAUAUGCAUCAAAUAUUAUACUUAAAAACAGAGUUAUAAAGAAGAGAGAGGAAGGAAGGGAGAGAGAAAGAAAGGAAAGACAUGGAAAAAUUAAAAAGGAAAAUAAUGACUAAGAAUGAAAUAGCUAAGAAGUCUCAGCAAAAUGGAAAUCCCAAAGGGAAAGUUGCAGAAAACAGAAAAAUGUUGAUCAUAAUGGUAUUAACCACAACAUUAAAAUGAUGAUGAAGAUGAUGAUGAUGGUGAUGUCACAGUAUCUAACAAUCAUGGAGUGGUUGUUAUUUUCCAGAUAAUAUUUUUAGUUUAUUAACUCAUCUAAACAUUACAAUAACUUUGUGGGAUAGGUUUCACUGUUAUUUUCACUUUUUACAUUACUAAACUGAAGCAUAUAAAAUUCCAAUAAACUUGAAAAUGUUACACAUUUGGUAAGUAGCAGAGCAGAAAUAUUAAUUCCAUUCCAGACAGGCUGAUUGCUUAACACCAUGCUAUCUAAAGUGUCCAAGAAUCAUCACCCCCUAAUAAUGAGUGAUUGAUUUUUCCUACCCUAUCCAUCAAAGCCUCCAUGAAUCACCCUCAGUCUUUCCUAGAGUAUAACUACAUUGUUUAUGGGGAUUUUACUGUUGUUUCAGGAGUUAUAUAAUUAAUUAAAAGUCCAUCGGAUUCUCUACUUUUACUUUUGAAGAAAUUCUGCGGUUUCCUGCUUCUCUCAGGAGUAAUCAUCCUUUAUAAAAUACUGAGCUUGGAACCUGUAGCAGAGGUAUUGUGUCACUUUUAUUAAAUGUGUUUUCACAUAUGACUGUUCUUCAGUUGCAUCAUAUUCUUUCCAAAGAAACAAUAAGUCUUAUGUGGUGCAUAGGAUUUUCCAUGCAUCAUAUAAUAUUUCUUUAAAGAAUAAAAUUGGGUAAUACCA